GAUGAACGCUGGCGGCGUGCCUAAUACAUGCAAGUCGAGCGAACAGAUGAGGAGCUUGCUCCUCUGACGUUAGCGGCGGACGGGUGAGUAACACGUGGAUAACCUACCUAUAAGACUGGGAUAACUUCGGGAAACCGGAGCUAAUACCGGAUAAUAUAUUGAACCGCAUGGUUCAAUAGUGAAAGACGGUUUUGCUGUCACUUAUAGAUGGAUCCGCGCCGCAUUAGCUAGUUGGUAAGGUAACGGCUUACCAAGGCAACGAUGCGUAGCCGACCUGAGAGGGUGAUCGGCCACACUGGAACUGAGACACGGUCCAGACUCCUACGGGAGGCAGCAGUAGGGAAUCUUCCGCAAUGGGCGAAAGCCUGACGGAGCAACGCCGCGUGAGUGAUGAAGGUCUUCGGAUCGUAAAACUCUGUUAUUAGGGAAGAACAAAUGUGUAGGUAACUAUGCACGUAUUGACGGUACCUAAUCAGAAAGCCACGGCUAACUACGUG
rnacentral:rRNA from 1 species